AGCGAACGCUGGCGGCGUGGAUAAGGCAUGCAAGUCGCGCGAUCCCGCAAGGGAUAGCGGCAAACGGGUGCGUAACGCGUGGGUAACCUGCCCUGAAGAGUGGGACAACUCGCUGAAAAGACGGGCUAAUACCACAUAUGCUUGCGAUACCGCAUGGUGUUGCACGGAAAGAUGGCCUAGACCGCAAGGUUGCUAUCACUUCAGGAGGGACCUGCGUCCCAUCAGCUAGUUGGUAGGGUCACGGCCUACCAAGGCUUCAGACGGGUAGCUAACCUGAGAGGGUGGUUAGCCACACUGGGACUGAGGACACGGUCCAGACUCCUACGGGAGGCAGCAGUGGGGAAUCUUGCGCAAUGGGCGAAAGCCUGACGCAGCGACGCCGCGUGGGGAGU
rnacentral:rRNA from 1 species